CUACGGGUGGCUCCAGUGGGGAAUAUUGCACAAUGGAGGAAACUCUGAUGCAGCAACGCCGCGUGGAGGAUGACACUUUUCGGAGCGUAAACUCCUUUUAUAUAGGAAGAAGAUGACGGUACUAUAUGAAUAAGCGCCGGCUAACUCCGUGCCAGCAGCCGCGGUAAUACGGAGGGCGCAAGCGUUACUCGGAAUCACUGGGCGUAAAGAGCGUGUAGGCGGAUUAAAAAGUCAGAAGUGAAAUCCUAUAGCUUAACUAUAGAACUGCUUCUGAAACUCUUAAUCUAGAAUAUGGGAGAGGUAGAUGGAAUUUCUGGUGUAGGGGUAACAUCCGUAGAGAUCAGAAGGAAUACCGAUUGCGAAGGCGAUCUACUAGAACAUUAUUGACGCUGAGACGCGAAAGCGUGGGGAGCAAACAGGAUUAAAUACCCGGGUAGUC
rnacentral:rRNA from 1 species